rnacentral:lncRNA from 1 species
UCUAGGUAAACUUUGAGUGGAUACACAAUUCCUGUUUUUUUUGUAUUUGGUCAAGCAGAAUAAUGUAUGAGAAAAUAAAGCUCUUUCAUGUAUUCGUGUUAUAUGUGGGAAUAUUAUUACUGGUUUUGCUACCAUAACAUGCAAUAUUGCAAGUUUGGCAGAAAUAAGUGACUACUGGUCAGUAUAAUCAUAUGAGGAUAAUAUCGGGGUACAAGAUCCUUUCCUGUUUUUCAUGGAGUUAGAGAACAACAUGGUGUGUUGCAUGUUGCACAUUCAGGAUUGCUACAUGAUUAGCAUGUGAUCUUUAGACAAGUGAAUGUCUAACCGACAUUGUCAAGUGAUAGCGAGAAGAAGAAGUUUCAGCUUGUGGAGUAUCUUCCAAGUUAGAUAUACCAUCCCGCAAGGUCAAGAUUUACUGAAAUGGAUUAUACUUAGAGUUGGGAAGCCUUACUUUUAACAUUUUAAUAAGUUUUUAUUCCCUAGGUAUGGGCGUUUUCAAGCUGUCCCUCGAGUUUUUCAUCAUGCUCUGCAAUGAGAUUUUCUACCUCUUCAUGAUCAUUGUCCUGACAAGCAAAGUCCAAGAUGGGUAGAUUGUCGUUCAUUCGCUUCGUAUCUGGUACUUACUUGCUUACUCUUUUUACUUGUCUGCUGAGUUCACUAUCAGAAGUUCAGAAUCACAACUUGAUGAGAACAUUCUGAGCUAACUAAAUAUAGCGCGCUUCUCUUUUUAUUAUACAUUCUUUGGAAUACUACAUUUAUAAAUUGUUACUCUUUGCUCUAAUUCUCAUCUUGCUGAGGAUUAAAUUCUUGGCAAGUAGUUUGAUCAGAUAGUUCUUAGUAGCGCAUUUUCCCAGUCACAAAAUUUUCCUUUAUCCCCAAGGAUAAGUUAGAGCACAAAAAUGAAAUCAGAAACUGGGGUGGAUAUUGUUAGGCAUGGCAUUGUUGUACAUCUAUGCCUGCCUUCACUAUGCACCAUAGCAUUCACGCGGAUAGGAUGUAACAUAAAUGUAUUGUAACAUCCAGAAAUAACAAGCUAGCUGAAAAGAUAUACAUACUAUUGACUUAACAGUUGUGAAAUAUUUGGAGUUGCCCCAAAGAGUAAUAGAGGUUCAGAGUUACAGUGGAAGCCACCACCCACUGAAACUGCAACGAGUUAACUGGGGGAAGCCAAGUUCUGUCCUUGCAUUGUUUUCUUCUACUAUUUUUGUUGUAUAUUAGUAUGUCGGUUGGUGUGAAAUUCCCCAUGUUUUGGUUAAUCUACUAGGCAGUAAAAAUAAGUUCAGUUUGGUAGGCUGUACACUUGUUAAACCACUUUUAACUGAACUUGUACAAGCACCAAAUCUAGGAUAGAAGUAGUUUCAUCUUAUUGUUCUACCAACCCGAGUUUGAGGCGUAUUUGUGGUACUUUGAAGUAUAAAAAUUGCAGUAAUUGUCCUUCCUCUUAUUUUUGGUAUUCUUUUAGCUCAGGCUUACACUUUGUGACUGGGCAUUAAUUUAAUUCUUCUAUUUUGCUGUUGCAACGAGAGUAAAAAUGAGAUGCGCUGCCACAUGAAAAACUUGGACCAAUUGAUAAGAUACCAAAUCUGGGCACUAUGUAGUUGUUCUGCAUCUGAAAUCUCUUUAUAUAGUAGUUGAGUAUACUGUAGUUAAUUCCACUGAUAUUUGUGUGUCAGUUAUUUGGUUAUUUGGUCUGAACCCACAAUCCAAGGUUAGUAAUUAUUUAGUCUGAACCUACAAUUCCUUUUCAUGUCUUGUUGUAUAAUUCUCUUGACACAAAGGGUUUCCGGAGGUUGUAUGGCAAUUUGAAAAUUCCAGUGUGUGCUUCAAGAUGUAUGCAUCUAAUUUUGGAACCUAUUCAUGUUGGUUCAGCAUGUUUCCACCACACUCCAUAUCUCAUAGGAUUUAGAGCAGAGGGCCUUUUAUAGUAAAUACUACAUAACAUAGUGUUGUUUGGUGGGAUGUAAUUUUUUUUGUUUCAUUCAUCCGCUAUCCUUGUUGUAUUUUACAUAGCUUAUAAUACUAUUUUCUUUGUUUCAGGGGGAGGAUAUGCAAUAUAGGAAAACUUGACUAAGCUUUGUGAAAUUUUGGUUCCAUUGGGUGACUUUUAUUUUCCUUUGAUGGCUAUGAUGCACAUGUAAAAUCACAUAAUUUGAUCCUCCCGAGUCUGGUAGAUUUGCUACCAAUGGUCGACUUAGCACUUAUCUUGUGCUGCAUAAUUGUUUCAGAUUACCAUCCUUGUACAGCAGCAAAUCAACUAUGUGCCUCUUUUGAGAAGCAAAGAUGUUGAUUGUCCACCUUGAAGGUUAUAGUUGCUAAAGAGUCUACACAGGAGAAAUAUUUUGUCUCACAACUUUCACUUGAUCAGUCUAAGAAUGAAAGGAAGUAUGCAUUAAAUAUACAAAAGUCUUCAUAAG